UACGGAGGGGGCUAGCGUUGUUCGGAAUUACUGGGCGUAAAGCGCACGUAGGCGGCUUUGUAAGUUAGAGGUGAAAGCCCAGGGCUUAACCCUGGAAUUGCCUUUAAGACUGCAUCGCUAGAAUCGUGGAGAGGUGAGUGGAAUUCCGAGUGUAGAGGUGAAAUUCGUAGAUAUUCGGAAGAAACACCAGUGGCGAAGGCGACUCACUGGACACGUAUUGACGCUGAGGUGGCGAAAGCGUGGGGAGCAAACAGG
rnacentral:rRNA from 1 species